rnacentral:misc_RNA from 1 species
GUGUGUGUGCGUAUAGAGAGCGAGAGAACUAAAGUUCUUAUAAGCUCUAGAGACUUCCAAGUCCUGGAUUUGAAAAGAAAUUGUCCAAAUUACACCAACUUUAUUACUUAUAAUCAUUUUUUCAACAGACCAUAGAGUGAUGCCAGAAAUUAUAAAAAGUGGGAAAAGUAAAAGAAAAGGAGCACCAGCAAAGUCAUUUACAAUUUAAUAAGGAUCACUAAAAUUUUUUGCCAAACCCAGAAAGAAAAUAUCCAAGUUUCUUACCAAUAUGAAGAUUGCAUACCAGAAUGCAAGUAAACUAGAGGACAAUCUAGGUACAGAGAGCAGUUAAAAUAUAAUACAUAGAAUGUAGAAAACACUAAGCAAUUCAGAAUGCCGGGACCUGUUAUGUUCCCCAGGUUGUGACUUAUAAUGGAUAGAGCAUUGGCAAUACCAAUAAUAUUAGACUUGCAAAUGAAAAUGAAAAUGACAACAGAUGACCAGAAGUAGUUCUCUUUUUACUUUUCGCUUUCUAUUAAUCAUAUUAGACAAAUGUGAUCGUUAAAAAAAUAUAAAAAGAUGUGAGAAUCUCAACAGCAGCAAGGCUUAUAAAUGUCAAUACUAAUCUGGUAAUGCUUAGCAUGCACAUUUCUUGAAACUAAUGAAACUACAUAUAUUUAUUAUGCGUGCUUGCAUCCAUGGUUUUAAAUCGCAGUGGCGGCCGUAUUCAUGGUCGUAGUUGCGAGUAAGCCUGUAAUGGC